AGACCUAUACAAUAUUCUAGAAAUCUCCCCAAUUUCAUCUGCUUUUUUCUCCAACCAAACCCAACAUACUAGAAGUCUCCCCCAGUAGAAAUAUAUUUAUCCCAGUCAGUACAUUUUGAAGACUUGUGUAGGAUUAAUUCAUCUUCUCCCCAAGGUCAGUUCUUUAAUUUUCUUCCAGUUCUUCCCAAAAAAAUAAAAUAAUUUCAUGUUCAAUGAGUGUUCCAAUUCCAGACCUGAUUUUCUUCCAAUUCUUUCUCUCAAUUUUUUUCCCAAACCUGCUACCAUUUCAAAAUUUCAUGACUGAAAUAUAUGGAUCAUUGUAUUUGAAAGAGAUUAUUUAUGUCAGAUUAUCUCCCCAAUGUUCUUUGGCUUAACCCUCUUUCUUCUGUUAUUUUUGUAUGAUCUUAAUUUAUGUUUUGAAUUUUAGUAUUAAUAAUGUCUACUAUAUAGAAAAGACAAAGAUGGUAGAAAUUCGAAAAAAACAUAAGUAUGAGGGAAUUGCUAAAAUUAGAGGGAAAAAAGGAUUUUUCUAAAAACUUUUCUAUUAGAGAUCCAAAGAAAGAGUUUUAACCAAAAGAGAGAAAAAAAAAAGACUCAAUAAUGACUGGGGGAACUACUUUUACGAUGGUGGACUUUGUAGAAAUCCUAAUUGUCCAUGACCAUGGUUCUAAGUGUUUCUAAUUAAAAAAAAUUUUAGUCUUUUGAUGUAGUAAAAUUGGUAAUGUAGACAUUGAGUACUUUGUAUGGUCAUUGUUUUAUUCUUUAUAAAACUUUUAUUUUUUGGGAGCUAAGUUAGUGCAAGCAAAUGUAUAUCGUCUUUGGACUUUGUAUGAAAAGUUUUUCACCUUUCUUUUUAGGCUUCCCGUCUUUGCAUAAAAAUGUUGUUGGGAAGAGAAUGGAGCGGUGAUAAUCCCUCUUUUAGAUGUAACAUUGUAGCUGUUUGUUUGCUCCUGUCUUAGGAGCCAUAUGUUUAUCAAUGUAGGAGAUUCAAAUGUUGUGGUUUUCCCUUUUAGUAUUUGGAUUUUUGGAAAACAUGAAGACUUCUCAUGGUAAACAUCUAAAAAAUUAAGUCAUUGUGACGACCUGGCCCGUCGUCUCAUGGGUUACCGCUCCAUUUUUUUUCCAAUUCUCAGCUUCUUUAUGCUUUAUUAUCCGUAUCUUAUGUGAUCGAGUUGGUUUGGAGUGGUUUUGAUAAGAAAUGAGACACUUAGUCUCUUUUAAGAAGGCUUAAGUUGGAAAAGUCAACCUGAUAUUGACUUAUGAGUUAGAGGGCUCAGAUAUGAAUUCUGAUGAUUCGGUUAGCUUCGGGGAUGAUUUGUGACUUAUGAGUGUGAUCGGAAGUAAUUUUGGAGGUCCGGUGUAGAAUUAAGCUUGAAUUGGCGAAGUUAGUAUUUUGGCGAAUUCCGGUUGAUAAGUGAGAUUUUGAUCCAAGGGUCAGAAUAGAAUUCCGGGAGUUGCUGUAGCUUCGUUAGGUGAUUUGGGAUGUGUGUGCAAAAUUUCAGGUCAUUCGGACGUGGUUUGGUCAGGUUUUUGAUCGAAAGUGUAUUUCGGAAAUUUUUAGAAAAUUAGGCUUGAAUUUGAUGAGUUUUGGGUAAUUUGAUGUUGUUUGAGGUGUUUUGAUUAUUGGAAGAGGUUUGAAUAAUAUUAUGAAUUAUGUUGGCAUGUUUGGUCGGGGUCCCAUGAGGCUCGGAUAUGUUUUGGAAGAGUUUUUGGAAGAUUUUUGCCGUUUGAGCAUAAGCAUGUAAUGAUCCAAAUGUCCAUUUUUAGUUCUAGAGAUCGAAAUUUUAUUUCGAGAUUUCCAGAAUUUAAAUAAUGAAUUAUAGGAGUGAUCUGGAAAGUUUGGUCUAAUUUCAUCAAGUCGCGAUUGAGUUUGUGACACGAAACAUGAGUUAAUUGUUUAACGAGCGAAAUGGAUAUCGCACUGAACAAACAAGCUCCGAAUUGAGUUUCGAUUGAAGGACUAUGUUCGUAUCAUUAUUUGUGACUCAUAGGAACAAGAAUCAUUGAAUUCCGAGUUCGUAUGAUGGAGUUAGAGCCAUUUUAGUAAAAAGAAAAGUGCUGCAAUUUCUUUGGCUGCUGCUGUUUUUUUUUUUAGCAGCGUGAACAGUAACCGCGCGGGUGAAUAAUACUUCCGAAAAAUUCUGGGCAGUGAGUUUAAUAAACAUUUCACCCGCGAUCCAAGUCCCAUUUCCUCUAUUUUUGAGCAACCUUGAGAGCUUUUGGACGAGGAUUGAAAGGGGGUUCGACAGGAAGUGAUUGGAGGUAAGUCCUAUGAACUAAAAACACGUUUAUUGUGAAAUUGAUCUUGGAAUCCAUGGAAAUUUAGCAAAAGAGGAAGAACUAGGGCUUGAGUUUUAAUAUUUCAAAUUUGGAUUUGAGGGGUCAUUUGGACUCCGAUUUUGGUAAAUUUAAUAUGUAUAGACUCGUGGCGAGAUAAGGAAUCCGGUGAUGUCAAUUUUCCGAUUUUUCGAGACGUGGGCCCGGGGCUCGGGUUUUGCCAAAUUCGUGAAUUUUGAUAUUUUUCGAGUGCUUUCGAUUGGGUAUUGCCUCUUUAGCAUUAUGUGACAUAUUCGUUGCGAUUUUGGGCAGAUUCGACGCACGUGGAGGCCAAUUCGAGGGGCAAAGGCGUCGCGAAUUAAAGAAAUAGCCGGUUUGAG
rnacentral:lncRNA from 1 species